UUCCAGGUGGCUCAGUGUCAAAGUAUCUGCCUGCAAUGCAGGAGGCCUGGGUUCUAUUCCUGGGUUGGGAA
rnacentral:tRNA from 1 species